rnacentral:rRNA from 1 species
CCUACGGGUGGCAGCCGUGAGGAAUAUUGGACAAUGGGCGUAAGCCUGAACCAGCCACGUCGCGUGAGUGAAGAAGGUUCUAUGGAUCGUAAACCCCUUUUAUAAGGGAAUAAAGUGUGGGACGUGGCCUAUUUUGUAUGUACCUUAUGAAUAAGGAUCGGCUAACUCCGGGCCAGCAGCCGCGGUAAUACGGAGGAUCCGAGCGUUAUCCGGAUUUAUUGGGUUUAAAGGGUGCGUAGGCGGCCUUUUAAGUCAGCGGUGAAAGUCCGUGGCCCAACCACAGAAUUGCCGUUGAAACUGGGGGGCUUGAGUAUGUUUGAGGCAGGCGGAAUGCGUGGUGUAGCGGUGAAAUGCUUAGAUAUCACGCAGAACCCCGAUGGCGAAGGCAGCCUGCCGGGCCAUGACUGACGCUGAGGCACGAAAGCGUGGGGAUCAAACAGGAUUAGAUACCCGAGUAGUC